AAAUUGAAGAGUUUGAUCAUGGCUCAGAUUGAACGCUGGCGGCAGGCCUAACACAUGCAAGUCGAACGGUAACAGGAAGCAGCUUGCUGCUUCGCUGACGAGUGGCGGACGGGUGAGUAAUGUCUGGGAAACUGCCUGAUGGAGGGGGAUAACUACUGGAAACGGUGGCUAAUACCGCAUAACGUCGCAAGACCAAAGAGGGGGACCUUCGGGCCUCUUGCCAUCAGAUGUGCCCAGAUGGGAUUAGCUUGUUGGUGAGGUAACGGCUCACCAAGGCGACGAUCCCUAGCUGGUCUGAGAGGAUGACCAGCCACACUGGAACUGAGACACGGUCCAGACUCCUACGGGAGGCAGCAGUGGGGAAUAUUGCACAAUGGGCGCAAGCCUGAUGCAGCCAUGCCGCGUGUAUGAAGAAGGCCUUCGGGUUGUAAAGUACUUUCAGCGGGGAGGAAGGUGUUGUGGUUAAUAACCGCAGCAAUUGACGUUACCCGCAGAAGAAGCACCGGCUAACUCCGUGCCAGCAGCCGCGGUAAUACGGAGGGUGCAAGCGUUAAUCGGAAUUACUGGGCGUAAAGCGCACGCAGGCGGUCUGUCAAGUCGGAUGUGAAAUCCCCGGGCUCAACCGGGAACUGCAUUCGAAACUGGCAGGCUUGAGUCUUGUAGAGGGGUAGAAUUCGAGUGUAGCGGUGAAAUGCGUAGAGAUCUGGAGGAAUACCGGUGGCGAAGGCGGCCCCCUGGACAAAGACUGACGCUCAGGUGCGAAAGCGUGGGGAGCAAACAGGAUUAGAUACCCUGGUAGUCCACGCCGUAAACGAUGUCUACUUGGAGGUUGUGCCCUUGAGGCGUGGCUUCCGGAGCUAACGCGUUAAGUAGACCGCACGGGAGUACGGCCGCAAGGUUAAAACUCAAAUGAAUUGACGGGGGCCCGCACAAGCGGUGGAGCAUGUGGUUUAAUUCGAUGCAACGCGAAGAACCUUACCUGGUCUUGACAUCCACAGAACUUUCCAGAGAUGGAUUGGUGCCUUCGGGAACUGUGAGACAGGUGCUGCAUGGCUGUCGUCAGCUCGUGUUGUGAAAUGUUGGGUUAAGUCCCGCAACGAGCGCAACCCUUAUCCUUUGUUGCCAGCGGUUAGGCCGGGAACUCAAAGGAGACUGCCAGUGAUAAACUGGAGGAAGGUGGGGAUGACGUCAAGUCAUCAUGGCCCUUACGACCGGGCUACACACGUGCUACAAUGGCGCAUACAAAGAGAAGCGACCUCGCGAGAGCAAGCGGACCUCAUAAAGUGCGUCGUAGUCCGGAUUGGAGUCUGCAACUCGACUCCAUGAAGUCGGAAUCGCUAGUAAUCGUGGAUCAGAAUGCCACGGUGAAUACGUUCCCGGGCCUUGUACACACCGCCCGUCACACCAUGGGAGUGGGUUGCAAAAAAAGUAGGUAGCUUAACCUUCGGGAGGGCGCUUACCACUUUGUGAUUCAUGACUGGGGUGAAGUCGUAACAAGGUAACCGUAGGGGAACCUGCGGUUGGAUCACCUCCUUACCUUAAAGAAGC
rnacentral:rRNA from 1 species